UACAGAGGGUGCAAGCGUUGUUCGGAAUCAUUGGGCGUAAAGGGCUCGUAGGCGGCCAACUAAGUCAGACGUGAAAUCCCUCGGCUUAACCGGGGAACUGCGUCUGAUACUGGAUGGCUUGAAUCCGGGAGAGGGAUGCGGAAUUCCAGGUGUAGCGGUGAAAUGCGUAGAUAUCUGGAGGAACACCGGUGGCGAAGGCGGCAUCCUGGACCGGCAUUGACGCUGAGGAGCGAAAGCCAGGGGAGCAAACGGG
rnacentral:rRNA from 1 species